rnacentral:rRNA from 1 species
GAAGGGUGCAAGCGUUACUCGGAAUUACUGGGCGUAAAGCGUGCGUAGGUGGUGCGUUAAGUCUGUCGUGAAAGCCCCGGGCUCAACCUGGGAAUGGCGAUGGAUACUGGCGCGCUAGAGUGCGGUAGAGGAGAGUGGAAUUCCCGGUGUAGCAGUGAAAUGCGUAGAGAUCGGGAGGAACAUCAGUUGCGAAGGCGGCUCUCUGGACCAGCACUGACACUGAGGCACGAAAGCGUGGGGAGCAAACAGGAUUAGAUACCCUGGUAGUCCACGCCCUAAACGAUGCGAACUGGACGUUGGGAGCAAUCAGGCUCUCAGUGUCGAAGCUAACGCGUUAAGUUCGCCGCCUGGGGAGUACGGUCGCAAGACUG